UCAGUUUCUUUCUUCAGAGACUUGAAGUUCUUGUCAUACAGAUCUUUUAUUUGCUUCAUUAGAGUCACACCAAGAUAUUUAUAUUAUUUGUGAUUGCUGUGAAGAGUUUCUGUAGGGUCCAUUCUUAAAUACCACAAGCCCUCUGUUUGUUCCUGUUAAUAUUGUCACUAUUUUUGAGAUGGGGAAUUUUCAUGUAGAAAUACAAUUUGUGAAUAUUAUUAAACUUGUACAUCUUGGGUUGUUUUGUUUUUAGGGUGAGACUUGCUUUGGUGAUUCUCCUGAGUGCUGAUAGUGUUGGUAUGUGCCACUAUGCCAUCUAGCAGUUUCAUUAAAACCCGGUUGAAAUGUGAACAUUUUUCUCAUUUGGCUAAAAACAAUUUUAUCCAAAAUUUCACUAAGAACUAGGCAAGUUUUUUAUUGUUUGCUUUAGUCUUUCAUUACCUCACUUUAACACCUAAGUUUACCGGGUGAUUAGAAGCAAAGUUGUAUGACAUCCUCUGUUACUCUUCAGUUGGCAUAAGGCAUAGUACCCGGGCCUAGUAAAUCAUUUAAAAUGCAUUGUGUCUUCCGUAUUCCUUGAAGUCCUUAUUACUUCAUAUUUUUUAGACCAAGACCAGUCAGUUGUUUUCUUUAAGGGAUAUAAGAAUUUCAAGAUUAGAUAUGAUCAGUUAGUUACCUUAUAAUCACAAGGUGCACUGUGAAGUAGGUGUUGGUUUUCAUUAAAGAAAUAUCAAAUAGUGAUUUCCUAUAUUUUUGGUAUUUACUUUGGGAGGUAAGUGUAAAUUAACAUUCAGAUCCAUCAUAAAUGUAUUCCCUCUGUGAUUUUUUUCUAAAAAAUAAUGACAAUUCCAAAUUCUAAAAUUUCAUCAUUUUUGAAAAUUAUGUUUUAUCUGAUACUAAAUAAAUAACAGAUUUAAGUCUAUUUCUUCAUUAUUAGCUUACAUCCAAAACACAAUCCUAAAGAUUAUGAAGGAGUAGAACCAUUUCUGCAGGUUGUAAUUACCUAGUCUCUCAGUCACUUGGGAUAAUCUUUAUUAAAUCCACUGAAUACCUUUUGAAAAAAAAUUGUUGUUUUGUUUUGUUUUGAGACAGGGUUUCUCCAUGUAGCCCUGGCUAUCCUGAAACUUACUUUAUAGACCAGGCUGACCUCUAACUCAAAGGUCCACCUGCCUUUGCCUUCUGAGUACUGGCAAGUAUGUUCCACUACCACAUGGCAAAAAAAUAAUUUAAAUCCAUAUUUAAUCUAUAUGUCAUAUAUCCCUUAUUAAGUUGAAGAUGAAGAGUCAAGGAGAAAUGAGGAUGAGAGUGAGAGGGAGUACCAGAUCACUCUUUUGUUGCGAAGAGAGUCAGGCUGUACAUCACACAGUGCACAGGAAAGACAUCACCAGAAGGUUGAUGAAUUAAUUACCUUCUGAGACAGAAGAUAAAUAGGACACAAUGAUGGAGAGUAGCCUCCUAGAAGCUUCUGCUACACAGGCAAUAGUUAUAUAGUGUUGUAAAUACAGAUCACUGUAUCUUAAUGGGAAUACUUGACACUGAACAAUUGGAAUAUCACAGUUAUUGAUCGGGUUGUUUUCCAGAGCCGUUGAGUAUAGUUUUAUCCUGGCUGUACAUUCAAAUAUCCUAAAGCUCAUUUUAGGAAGUGCCUGUGCCAGAUUCCACCCAACACAAACCAGUGAGGUAUCUGAAAGAAGGACGUGAUCACCAAUACUGUAGAAAGCCCCUGAACAAUUUGGAUGUUUAAUAUGAGCUGAAACAUCUAAAGUAGUAAAAACAGAUAUAGAGGUCAAGUUAUUGACCAACCUACCACUUUAGAAGCUUGUACUAUACAGACCAGUGUACUGUAUGCCAGGCACAGUGUGGCUAGGCAUUUCAUGUAUAUAUCAUUUGAUCUUCACAUCUUAAAAACUUUGACUAGCUGCACUUGCUGUUUCUCAGUUGGUUCUAUCCAGCAACAGAGUCCUGGAAAUGCCAUUUAGAGAUUAUCCACCUUAUGUUCUCAAGUUAAAAGAUCACUGAAACUAGAUGAUCAGUUUGAAGACAAUUCAUUUGGUCCUUCAGAAAUCAUGAAGAAGAAAAGUAGUACAGCUUAUUCUCCAACUACUGGAACUUAUCAGUUGAGCCCAUUUUCUUCUCCUACAACCCCCAGAGAACAAGAACACAGAAACAGACCAUCAAAUGGAACAAGAAAACUGAAUAACUUGAGCUCACCUGAAAGACAGGAGUCCACAGUGAAAGGCAGUGAUGGACCAAUGAUGUUGCUAUCUAAAAUUGAGAGAUCAUCAGAGAAAACCAUGGAGAUAAUGAACAAUUUAAGUAGUGUACAGGUGUUGGAGGGCAACAGACAACUUGAAGAUCUCAUUGGUGUUUCCCUAGUACCAUGCUCCUUAAAAAGAGAAGCGAGAAAAACCAAAGAGCUAAUGACAAAAGUAAUAAAAAAAAAAAAAAGCUGUUUAAAAAGAAAAAUUCAAAAAUUCCUCCCAAAAACAACAUCUUGAUAGCUUUGAAUUCCUUAAAGCCAUUUUGAACUGAGUGUUACCUUCAAGUCUAACAACUGUGUCAACCUACCUGGAUAUUAGUCAGCCAUAAGAAUACAAACCAGAUGGAAGU